rnacentral:rRNA from 1 species
CUUUCAACAACGGAUCUCUUGGCUCUCGCAUCGAUGAAGAACGCAGCGAAAUGCGAUAAGUAAUGUGAAUUGCAGAAUUCAGUGAAUCAUCGAAUCUUUGAACGCAUCUUGCGCUCCUUGGUAUUC